UACGUAGGGGGCAAGCGUUGUCCGGAAUCACUGGGCGUAAAGCGCGCGUAGGCGGUCUGUUAAGUGGGAUGUGAAAUCCCCGGGCUUAACCUGGGAAUUGCAUUUCAAACUGGCCGACUAGAGUACGGUAGAGGGAGGUAGAAUUUCCUGUGUAGCGGUGAAAUGCGUAGAUAUAGGAAGGAAUACCAGUGGCGAAGGCGGCCUCCUGGAUCGAUACUGACGCUGAGGCGCGAAAGCGUGGGGAGCAAACAGGG
rnacentral:rRNA from 1 species